rnacentral:rRNA from 1 species
AAACCGCUUUCAGGAGGGACGAAGCUACUCGGGUGAAUAGCCCAGAGGGGUGACGGUACCUCCAGAAGAAGCCCCGGCUAACUACGUGCCAGCAGCCGCGGUAAUACGUAGGGGGCAAGCGUUGUCCGGAUUUAUUGGGCGUAAAGAGCGUGUAGGCGGUCAGGUAGGUCGGUUGUGAAAACUGGAGGCUCAACCUUCAGAGGUCGACCGAAACCCCCUGGCUAGAGUCCGGGAGAGGAGAGUGGAAUUCCUGGUGUAGCGGUGAAAUGCGCAGAUAUCAGGAAGAACACCCGUGGCGAAAGCGGCUCUCUGGAACGGUACUGACGCUGAGACGCGAAAGCGUGGGGAGCGAACAGGAUUAGAUACCCUGGUAGUCCACGCCGUAAACGAUGGGCGCUAGGUGUGGGAGGUGUCGACUCCUUCCGUGCCGAAGCUAACGCAUUAAGCGCCCCGCCUGGGGAGUACGGCCGCAAGGCUA